GACGAACGCUGGCGGCGUGCUUAACACAUGCAAGUCGAACGGAAAGGCCCUGCUUUUGUGGGGUGCUCGAGUGGCGAACGGGUGAGUAACACGUGAGUAACCUGCCCUUGACUUUGGGAUAACUUCAGGAAACUGGGGCUAAUACCGGAUAGGAGCUCCUGCUGCAUGGUGGGGGUUGGAAAGUUUCGGCGGUUGGGGAUGGACUCGCGGCUUAUCAGCUUGUUUGUGGGGUAGUGGCUUACCAAGGGUUUGACGGGUAGCCGGCCUGAGAGGGUGACCGGCCACAUUGGGACUGAGAUACGGCCCAGACUCCAACGGGAGGCAGCAGUGGGGAAUAUUGCACAAUGGGCGGAAGCCUGAUGCAGCAACGCCGCGUGCGGGAUGACGGCCUUCGGGUUGUAAAACGCUUUCGCAUGUGACGAAGCGUGAGUGACGGUAAUGGGUAAAGAAGCACCGGCUAACUACGUG
rnacentral:rRNA from 1 species